CUUCCAGUAGCACCUCAGAGACCAACUAAGUUUGUUAUUGGUAUGAGCUUUCGUGUGCAUGCACACUUCUUCAGAUACAUGCAUGCACACGAAAUCUCAUACUAAUAACAAACUUAGUUGGUCUCUAAGGUGCUACUGGAAG